AGGGAUUUCUCUGGACAUUUCUCACCUAAGACAGGCACAGUCUUUUUGCUGAGCUGGGAAAGUCCCUGCUCUAAAUAUAAUAAAAAGGGGGAUAUGUGGGAGCCCGGCCAUGGCCCUCUAGGAGUUUGACAUUUAAAAGGAAACUUCUUCACCUCUACACUCAAGGCAUUGAUACAAUCUGUAACAUUCUAGGACUCUGCUUGUUAAACUUGUUGCUGCAACGGAAGAAACUCAAAGAGACAGCCAUAAAUCUGAUGUUCUUUGCAAAGAGUCAGAAAAUCCGGUCUUUGCAUAAAAGAUACAAAUAGUUGCUUGGUGCUUCCUGUUGAUGUGAACCUAUAAAAGGAGCUGUUUCUGUGAAAUAAAUCAGACUUCUCUUCAUCCCCACUCAGGCUUGAGUGUUCUUUCCUUUCAAAAUCCUCACUCCCCAACUCAGGCAUGUUCGUGUUGUGACGGCUGGACCGCCACACCCCUGCAGUUGUAAUCAGAAGGGAACAGACAGAUGAGAUCACGCUGCCUGCAGAGUCGCCUUCCUGGGCGAGGUUGUCAGUGGGUGUCCAUGGCCAGGAGGCCAGAAGCUGCAGUGCAGGGACAUUCCACCCCGGUGACAGCAGCCGGUCUCUGCAUGCUGCUUCCUGCCGCUGUCCCGGGCACUUCCCUCUUCACGGUGUUCACAUGUGCUCUGAACACGGCAUGCCUCGGGGCCAGUAAGAUGCUGGCUCAGUACACCUUGGUGCAGUGGCCUCACCCCACCUGUCCUUGAACUGGGCAGCAGCACACAUCAUACACAGCUAGGAAGCCGCAGUUGGACUGAAUCUCCAGGACUGGGGUCCCUGAGACCGCUG
rnacentral:lncRNA from 1 species